rnacentral:rRNA from 1 species
GUCGGUGUUACUGGCGAUGAGGAUUCACCUGUUCCCAUUCCGAACACAGAAGUUAAGCUCAUCAGUGUCGAAGAUACUUGGCGGGUGACUGCCUGGGAAAAUAGAGCGAUGCCGACA